rnacentral:rRNA from 1 species
UACGUAGGUGGCAAGCGUUGUCCGGAUUUACUGGGCGUAAAGAGCGCGCAGGCGGUCGUUCAAGUCGCGUGUGAAAGCCCCCGGCUCAACUGGGGAGGGUCACGCGAUACUGAUCGACUCGAAGGCAGGAGAGGGAAGUGGAAUUCCCGGUGUAGUGGUGAAAUGCGUAGAUAUCGGGAAGAACACCCGUGGCGAAGGCGGUUCUCUGGGACGGUACUGACGCU